AGUGAACGCUGGCGGCAGGCCUAACACAUGCAAGUCGAGCGGCAGCGCGGGGGCAACCCUGGCUGCGAGCGGCGGACGGGUGAGGAAUUCGUCGGAAUCUGCCUUUUUGUGGGGGAUAACGUAGGGAAACUUACGCUAAUACCGCAUACGUCCUACGGGAGAACGUGGGGGACCGCAAGGCCUCACGCAGAUAGAUGAUCCGACGACCGAUUAGCUAGUUGGUGGGGUAACGGCCCACCAAGGCGACGAUCGGUAGCUGGUCUGAGAGGAUGAUCAGCCACACUGGGACUGAGACACGGCCCAGACUCCUACGGGAGGCAGCAGUGGGGAAUAUUGGACAAUGGGCGCAAGCCUGAUCCAGCCAUGCCGCGUGUGUGAAGAAGGCCUUCGGGUUGUAAAGCACUUUUGUCCGGAAAGAAAUCCAUGGAGCUAAUACCUUCGGGGGAUGACGGUACCGGAAGAAUAAGCACCGGCUAACUUCGUG
rnacentral:rRNA from 1 species